CCGGGUCCUCGACUUGCCCGAAAACACAUGUGCACCUACGAUAAAUUUCGCUGCGGCGGGCCGCUCGCUGGGGGAGCCGCAGGGCCGAGAGGCUGGCCCGCCGACUGCAGCGAGAGCAUUAAGCUCUGAACUGAAGCCGAGGCGCUCUGGAAAUAUCUUCUGAAGCACAACGUGAGCCGCCCCGCGAGGGGUUGAGGCGAAACGAUCAAUUA
rnacentral:misc_RNA from 1 species